rnacentral:rRNA from 1 species
UACGAGGCAGCAGUGGGGAAUAUUGCACAAUGGGCGCAAGCCUGAUGCAGCCAUGCCGCGUGUAUGAAGAAGGCCUUCGGGUUGUAAAGUACUUUCAGUCGUGAGGAAGGUGUUAAGGUUAAUAACCUUAGCAAUUGACGUUAGCGACAGAAGAAGCACCGGCUAACUCCGUGCCAGCAGCCGCGGUAAUACGGAGGGUGCGAGCGUUAAUCGGAAUUACUGGGCGUAAAGGGCACGCAGGCGGUUAAUUAAGUUGGAUGUGAAAUCCCCGGGCUUAACCUGGGAAUGGCAUUCAAGACUGGUUAGCUAGAGUCUUGUAGAGGGGGUAGAAUUCCAUGUGUAGCGGUGAAAUGCGUAGAGAUGUGGAGGAAUACCGGGUGGCGAAGGCGGCCCCUGGGACAAAGACUGACGCUCAUGUGCGAAAGCGUGGGGAGCAAACGAGGAUUAGAUAC